rnacentral:rRNA from 1 species
AUGAACGCUGGCGGCGUGCCUAAUACAUGCAAGUCGAGCGAACAGACGAGGAGCUUGCUCCUCUGACGUUAGCGGCGGACGGGUGAGUAACACGUGGAUAACCUACCUAUAAGACUGGGAUAACUUCGGGAAACCGGAGCUAAUACCGGAUAAUAUAUUGAACCGCAUGGUUCAAUAGUGAAAGACGGUUUUGCUGUCACUUAUAGAUGGAUCCGCGCCGCAUUAGCUAGUUGGUAAGGUAACGGCUUACCAAGGCAACGAUGCGUAGCCGACCUGAGAGGGUGAUCGGCCACACUGGAACUGAGACACGGUCCAGACUCCUACGGGAGGCAGCAGUAGGGAAUCUUCCGCAAUGGGCGAAAGCCUGACGGAGCAACGCCGCGUGAGUGAUGAAGGUCUUCGGAUCGUAAAACUCUGUUAUUAGGGAAGAACAAAUGUGUAAGUAACUAUGCAUGUCCUGACGGUACCUAAUCAGAAAGCCACGGCUAACUACGUG